rnacentral:misc_RNA from 1 species
GUGAAUCAUCAAAUUUUUGAACGCAAAUUGCACUCUCCGGUUUUCCGGGAGAGUAUGCCUGUUUGAGGGUUAGCCUAAAAAAAAUCGACAUUGUUGCUGUUAUUUAAUGGUGACUUUCGUCGGUGAUUGGGUUAUCUUAUACAUUUUUUUUUUUUUUUGGUUUAAGCGACUUAAAAUUUUUUUUCAUGUUUCUAUGAACGCUUCUAAGAUUUUUAUUUUUUUUAUGUUUAAGCUUCAUAUCUCUUUUAUUAGAUGUUCUUGUC